rnacentral:rRNA from 1 species
AUUGAACGCUGGCGGAAUGCUUUACACAUGCAAGUCGAACGGUAGAGGGGGCAACCCCUUGAGAGUGGCGAACGGGUGAGUAAUAUAUCGGAACGUGCCCAGUCGUGGGGAUAACGUAGCGAAAGUUACGCUAAUACCGCAUACGAUCUAAGGAUGAAAGCGGGGGAUCGCAAGACCUCGCGCGAUUGGAGCGGCCGAUAUCAGAUUAGGUAGUUGGUGAGGUAAAGGCUCACCAAGCCAACGAUCUGUAGCUGGUCUGAGAGGAUGACCAGCCACACUGGAACUGAGACACGGUCCAGACUCCUACGGGAGGCAGCAGUGGGGAAUUUUUGGACAAUGGACGCAAGUCUGAUCCAGCCAUUCCGCGUGCAGGAUGAAGGCCCUCGGGUUGUAAACUGCUUUUGUUACGGAACGAAAAGACUCCUUCUAAUAAAGGGGUACCGAGU